CCUACGGGAGGCUGCAGUGAGGAAUAUUGGGCAAUGGGCGCAAGCCUGACCCAGCAAUGCCGCGUGCGGGAUGAAGGUCCUCGGAUCGUAAACCGCUUUUGUGGGGGAGUAGCAAGGAGAGUACCCCACGAAUAAGUCACGGCUAACUACGUGCCAGCAGCCGCGGUAAUACGUAGGUGACAAAUGUUAUCCGGAAUCACUGGGCGUAAAGGGUCUGUAGGCGGUUACUUAGGUCUGAUGUGACACCUCUCGGCUUAACUGAGAGAGCGCAUUGGAAACCGGGUGACUAGAAUCACGUCGAGGUCGGUGGAAUUCCCGGUGUAGUGGUGGAAUGCGUAGAGAUCGGGAGGAACCUCGAAAGCGAAGGCAGCCGGCUAGACGAUGAUUGACGCUGAGGGACGAUAGCGUGGGUAGCAAACAGGAUUAGAUACCCGAGUAGUC
rnacentral:rRNA from 1 species